UACGUAGGGGGCAAGCGUUGUCCGGAUUUAUUGGGCGUAAAGAGCGUGUAGGCGGCCAGAUAGGUCCGUUGUGAAAACUGGAGGCUUAACCUCCAGCUGUCGAUGGAAACCAUCUGGCUAGAGUCCGGAAGAGGAGAGUGGAAUUCCUGGUGUAGCGGUGAAAUGCGCAGAUAUCAGGAAGAACACCCGUGGCGAAGGCGGCUCUCUGGGCCGAAACUGACGCUGAGGAGCGAAAGCGUGGGGAGCAAACAGG
rnacentral:rRNA from 1 species